rnacentral:rRNA from 1 species
GCUGACAGUCAUACCACCCUGAGCGUGCCCACUCUCAUCUGAUCUCAGAAGCUUAACAGGGUCUGGCUUGAUUAGUACUUGGCGGCUGUAGCUCAGGAGUUAGAGCAGGUCAUCU